GAUGAACGCUGGCGGCGUGCCUAAUACAUGCAAGUCGAGCGAACAGACGAGGAGCUUGCUCCUUUGACGUUAGCGGCGGACGGGUGAGUAACACGUAGGUAACCUACCUAUAAGACUGGGAUAACUUCGGGAAACCGGAGCUAAUACCGGAUAAUAUUUCGAACCGCAUGGUUCGAUAGUGAAAGAUGGCUUUACUAUCACUUAUAGAUGGACCUGCGCCGUAUUAGCUAGUUGGUAAGGUAACGGCUUACCAAGGCAACGAUACGUAGCCGACCUGAGAGGGGGACCGGCCACACUGGAACUGAGACACGGUCCAGACUCCGACGGGAGGCAGCAGGAGGGAAUCUUCCGCAAUGGGCGAAAGCCUGACGGAGCAACGCCGCGUGAGUGAUGAAGGUCUUCGGAUCGUAAAACUCUGUUAUUAGGGAAGAACAAACGUGUAAGUAACUGUGCACGUCUUGACGGUACCUAAUCAGAAAGCCACGGCUAACUACGUG
rnacentral:rRNA from 1 species